CUACCCGGCCUACUCAGCUGGACUGCCAUUCAGUCCAGUAACAGACUGAGAUUCCCUCUACUGAUGGACAUUGCAUAGAGCGUGAAAUGGGAGGAUCCCCCGGAUGACCAAAAUAAAGUCGUGGAGAACAUGAAGGAUGAAACAGAGACACAUGAGACCAACAAGAACAGGACAGGAGGCAAGGCUAAACGUAAGUCCAGUGGCGGUGCCAAGAAGACUUCCGUGGAGGAGGACAGCAGCAUUGGUGCAGGUCCGAGAUUACUUCAUGUUGGGUGCAGGUUGUGUUCAAAUUCAUCAGCACCGAUCUGAGUAGAUAGUAUCUAUAUAGGUGAAAGCAAUAUAGUGGAGGCCCGCAGAGAGAUGUGCUUUUACCUGUCCAGUGCAAUCAAAUCCCUAAAGGUGAAGGAAAUUAGGGAUCAAGUUCAGAUUCAACUUUAGAU